CACCCUGUAGAUCCGAAUUUGUGUAAAUACAACGGCAGCCACAAGUUCGCAUCUUGGGGAGUU
rnacentral:pre_miRNA from 1 species